CCCUAGCCUAGGGGCACCCAGCUCCGUCGCGGCGGACGGAAUCGUCAGGCCACACGGAAACAGAGAUGCGGCGACUUCUCCGUCCUCCCGGCGGCAGCGAAGCUCGGAGAAACGAACGACGGGGGAGGCGCCGCCGGCGGCCACUCGGAAGCAAUUCAGGGAACUGGAAGUACAUAUAAAUUACAUGGUUACUCAAGACUUGGACAGCUCUGUGAUAUCUUAUUUCUUCCAAAAUAUGUGUUCCCUUUCUUGCAGUUUGGAAGCUUGUUCGUGUCAACACAUUUAAAGACAGUGGACUAAAUAUGUCUACUAGUAGUAAGGAUCCAGUUACAGUUACAAGAACAAGAUCAGUUUUCACCUCUGGCCAUCUUACAAGCCAACAGUGGGCUACUACUGAGAACCGGGCACGCGCACACGGAGCGCCAGGUUGGAGUUGCUACCAUGGAGCUCGAGCUCACAGGUGUCGCCUUCAUUCAGGCCGUUCUCCGCAUGGACGUCAGCCCACCCUGUAACCAAUCCGCUGAAGCUGGGGGUGCACAGGUACAGCACCGGCCAGUGUCUCGUGCAUGGAUCCUCAACUACCAGCACCUUCCUCCCAUGCUUCUUCCUUCUCGGGAGAACUGGCAGCCGGCAAGGAAACUCCUGAAGGAAAAACUACAAGUUAGCUGCCCCGCCCCUUGCGUUGCAACGAGUGUACGUAAUGAAGGCUACUCACCAGCCAUGUUUGAUCUGGUGGGGGCACCGCGACGCAGAACUUUCUAUUGUUUGUUUUCGGACACUCGCUUUUCAGGACAAGGUUUUUGCCUGUUGUUCACCCGAGAGAAAUUUCAUGUUAUCCAUUUGUUGAUGUACACAUGCAAUGAGAACAAAAUUCUAUUCGCAAAAAAUAAAAUGAGAACAAGACUCUCCAAUCUA